rnacentral:rRNA from 1 species
GACGAACGCUGGCGGCGUGCCUAAUACAUGCAAGUAGAACGCUGAAGAGAGGAGCUUGCUCUUCUUGGAUGAGUUGCGAACGGGUGAGUAACGCGUAGGUAACCUGCCUUGUAGCGGGGGAUAACUAUUGGAAACGAUAGCUAAUACCGCAUAACAAUGGAUGACACAUGUCAUUUAUUUGAAAGGGGCAAUUGCUCCACUACAAGAUGGACCUGCGUUGUAUUAGCUAGUAGGUGAGGUAACGGCUCACCUAGGCGACGAUACAUAGCCGACCUGAGAGGGUGAUCGGCCACACUGGGACUGAGACACGGCCCAGACUCCUACGGGAGGCAGCAGUAGGGAAUCUUCGGCAAUGGGGGCAACCCUGACCGAGCAACGCCGCGUGAGUGAAGAAGGUUUUCGGAUCGUAAAGCUCUGUUGUAAGUCAAGAACGAGUGUGAGAGUGGAAAGUUCACACUGUGACGGUAGCUUACCAGAAAGGGACGGCUAACUACGUGCCAGCAGCCGCGGUAAUACGUAGGUCCCGAGCGUUGUCCGGAUUUAUUGGGCGUAAAGCGAGCGCAGGCGGUUUGAUAAGUCUGAAGUUAAAGGCUGUGGCUCAACCAUAGUUCGCUUUGGAAACUGUCAAACUUGAGUGCAGAAGGGGAGAGUGGAAUUCCAUGUGUAGCGGUGAAAUGCGUAGAUAUAUGGAGGAACACCGGUGGCGAAAGCGGCUCUCUGGUCUGUAACUGACGCUGAGGCUCGAAAGCGUGGGGAGCGAACAGGAUUAUAUACCCUGGUAGUCCAAGGGGCGAAUUCCACAGUGGUAUAUCAUCUUAUCGAUACCGUCCACCUCGAGGGGGGGGCCCGGUACCCAACUUUUUGUUCCCUUUAUGAGGUGUUUAAUAUAGGGUGGGUGGGUGGCGGUGAUGUGGGGUGUGUGUGUGUGGUGUGUGUAGUGGUUGUGUUGUUGUGUGUGUGUUUUUGUGUGUGUUUGUUGUUUGUGAUCGUGUGUGUGGUGUGUUGUGUGUGUUGUGUGUG